ncrna:unclassified sequences DTF3800-VIII RNA
GCAUCCCUGCUUUGCCGAAGCCCCGCGUUCCACGCGGGGUACUUUGUAGGCAAAGUGGGGGACU